rnacentral:sRNA from 1 species
ACAAGCCCAAACCAACGCCACACACGCAUCGGCACCGCCUUCGGGGUGCCGCAGCCGUCUCCGUCAUUCAAGGAGGCCCUGCGGUCGAAGCCGGGGAUGCGUGGAGGUCCCAAC